rnacentral:rRNA from 1 species
AACGAACGCUGGCGGCAGGCCUAACACAUGCAAGUCGAGCGCGCCCUUCGGGGUGAGCGGCGGACGGGUGAGUAACGCGUGGGAACGUGCCCUUUUCUACGGAAUAGCCUCGGGAAACUGAGAGUAAUACCGUAUACGCCCUUUGGGGGAAAGAUUUAUCGGUAAAGGAUCGGCCCGCGUUGGAUUAGGUAGUUGGUGGGGUAAUGGCCUACCAAGCCGACGAUCCAUAGCUGGUUUGAGAGGAUGAUCAGCCACACUGGGACUGAGACACGGCCCAGACUCCUACGGGAGGCAGCAGUGGGGAAUCUUAGACAAUGGGGGCAACCCUGAUCGAGCCAUGCCGCGUGAGUGAUGAAGGCCUUAGGGUUGUAAAGCUCUUUCAGCUGGGAAGAUAAUGACGGUACCAGCAGAAGAAGCCCCGGCUAACUCCGUG